rnacentral:rRNA from 1 species
GGGACACGUGGUAUCCUGUCUGAAUAUGGGGGGACCAUCCUCCAAGGCUAAAUACUCCUGACUGACCGAUAGUGAACCAGUACCGUGAGGGAAAGGCGAAAAGAACCCCGGCGAGGGGAGUGAAAAAGAACCUGAAACCGUGUACGUACAAGCAGUGGGAGCCUCUUAAUGGGGUGACUGCGUACCUUUUGUAUAAUGGGUCAGCGACUUAUAUUCUGUAGCAAGGUUAACCGAAUAGGGGAGCCGAAGGGAAACCGAGUCUUAACUGGGCGUUAAGUUGCAGGGUAUAGACCCGAAACCCGGUGAUCUAGCCAUGGGCAGGUUGAAGGUUGGGUAACACUAACUGGAGGACCGAACCGACUAAUGUUGAAAAAUUAGCGGAUGACUUGUGGCUGGGGGUGAAAGGCCAAUCAAACCGGGAGAUAGCUGGUUCUCCCCGAAAGCUAUUUAGGUAGCGCCUCGUGAAUUCAUCUCCGGGGGUAGAGCACUGUUUCGGCAAGGGGGUCAUCCCGACUUACCAACCCGAUGCAAACUGCGAAUACCGGAGAAUGUUAUCACGGGAGACACACGGCGGGUGCUAACGUCCGUCGUGAAGAGGGAAACAACCCAGACCGCCAGCUAAGGUCCCAAAGUCAUGGUUAAGUGGGAAACGAUGUGGGAAGGCCCAGACAGCCAGGAUGUUGGCUUAGAAGCAGCCAUCAUUUAAAGAAAGCGUAAUAGCUCACUGGUCGAGUCGGCCUGCGCGGAAGAUGUAACGGGGCUAAACCAUGCACCGAAGCUGCGGCAGCGACGCUUAUGCGUUGUUGGGUAGGGGAGCGUUCUGUAAGCCUGUGAAGGUGGCCUGUGAGGGUUGCUGGAGGUAUCAGAAGUGCGAAUGCUGACAUAAGUAACGAUAAAGCGGGUGAAAAGCCCGCUCGCCGGAAGACCAAGGGUUCCUGUCCAACGUUAAUCGGGGCAGGGUGAGUCGACCCCUAAGGCGAGGCCGAAAGGCGUAGUCGAUGGGAAAC